rnacentral:rRNA from 1 species
UACAGGGGGUGCAAACGUUGCUCGGAAUUAUUGGCGUAAAGCGCGCGUAGGCGGCUACCUAAGUCGGAUGUGAAAGCCCCUGGCUUAACCGGGGAAGUGCACCCGAAACUGGGUAGCUAGAGUGCAAAAGAGGGUCGCGGAAUUCCCAGUGUAGAGGUGAAAUUCGUAGAUAUUGGGAGGAACACCGGUGGCGAAGGCGGCGACCUGGGUUGACACUGACGCUGAGGCGCGAAAGCGUGGGGAGCAAACAGGG